rnacentral:lncRNA from 1 species
UCAAAAGUUUCCAAUCUUCUAUCAAUCAAGGUUUAAAUUAAAUGCAAGAAGACAGUAAACAGUACCCAGACAAACGUGAAAUGAAGCCACACAAAUCAUCGGAAAACCCCAAAAUAAUUAAUUAAAAGUGGUCCAUGGAAAAACCAACUCCAGGAAGAUCUCAAUAUAAGGUAAAAGGACCUGUCUUCACAGAAACAGCUAAAGCGCAUACCGAUGUAGCCUUGUUGCCACAAAAUCAAAACAAAGGACAAAGAUUCCCAGCUAUCCAAAAGCGCAGAGAGCUGAAUCCGAAUUUCAAAUUCCAAAAACUAUGAAUUAUUGUUCUUGAAAAAGGAAACGUACAACCAAUUUUAAAGGCAAUUAUCUAAAUAGAGUAAGCACUUUUUUACUUUUUUUUUUCUCUCAACUUUUCCCAUUAACCAAACAGCCCCUCAAAAUUUUCAAAUCAAAACAUCUGCCUGUCAUAGGAAAUCAAUAGAUUAAAAUAAACUUAUACCAUUUCUUUAACUCAACUCGGAGCUGAGAAAAAUCAUCUAGUUAGAAAUCUGAGUAGCAGAUGCAAACUUCAACUAACCAACACACCAACCGAAAAGGAAAAUGAAUAAACGACCCAAACAUUAAUUUUCUCAGGGAAUAGAAACUAAAAAUAUACCACGCAGCUCAGCAAAUGCAUACCCCGGAGAUGCACAUUAACAGAAACCUGUUCACCUCCGAGGCAAAUCAACAGGUGUAAACAGCCAGUUUCCCAUUGGUCAACGAGAUCAACGGAAGAACGGGAAAACCAACAGAGAUCAGAAAUAGAGAAACGCUAACAACGAGCCAAUGUUUUCCUUUCUCUUGCUUCAGAGUCCGACUCAACGUGCCGUUUAGAAAAGGCAAAGUAUGAUACCUUGCCCAUUAUCCGCCAUUGGAUCUCUAGCCAUAGAUCUAAAAGGCGAAGAACUGAAGAGAGAAUAUUAAAGGCCCAAAAAAGACAGUACGGAGAGAGAGAAUGGUGAAAAAGCUAGAGAGAGAAAGCUCCUUUUAUUUCUAGAGAGAGAGGAGAAAGAGACGGAGAAAGAGAGGGAAAGAGAGCGAGUGUUUUUCUGGUAGCAGUUCAGAUUUUGUAUUUUUCUGGUUCUCGUGCUUCUCUUUGAGAAGGGAAGGUUAACGGGGAGUCAAAAGAUCAGAGAAGGGUUGGUAAAUGAUUUGAAUCGGACGGCUCAAAAUGAGAGACGGAUGAUCAGGUGGUCACAUCAGAAAAACGCGGGAGCUGUGCUUCUCGCAAUAGUUGACGCCACCCCCACGCCGUAAGAAAGUUAAGAAUCUCAAUCAUGAAUCAUCAGAUCCAAACGUAAAAAAAAAA